GUGCCAGCAGCCGCGGUAAUACGGAGGAGGCAAGCGUUAUCCGGAAUUAUUGGGCGUAAAGCGUCCGUAGGUGGCUUUCUCAAGUCUGCGGUUAAAGACUGGGGCUUAACUCCAGAAAGGCCGUGGAAACUGAAAGGCUAGAGAGCCGUAGGGGUAGAGGGAAUUCCCGGUGUAGCGGUGAAAUGCGUAGAGCUCGGGAAGAACAUCGGUGGCGAAAGCGCUCUACUGGACGGUAUCUGACACUGAGGGACGAAAGCUAGGGGAGCGAAUGGGAUUAGAUACCCGAGUAGUCC
rnacentral:rRNA from 1 species